UACGGGGGGAGCAAGCGUUGUUCGGAUUUACUGGGCGUAAAGGGCGCGUAGGCGGUCAGCACAAGUCAGUUGUGAAAUCUCCGGGCUUAACUCGGAAAGGUCAACUGAUACUGUGCGACUAGAGUGCAGAAGGGGCAACUGGAAUUCUCGGUGUAGCGGUGAAAUGCGUAGAUAUCGAGAGGAACACCUGCGGCGAAGGCGGGUUGCUGGGCUGACACUGACGCUGAUGCGCGAAAGCGUGGGGAGCGGAUCCGG
rnacentral:rRNA from 1 species